rnacentral:rRNA from 1 species
UACGUAGGGGGCAAGCGUUGUCCGGAAUCAUUGGGCGUAAAGAGCGUGUAGGCGGCCCGGUAAGUCCGCUGUGAAAGUCAAAGGCUCAACCUUUGAAUGUCAGUGGAUACUGCCGGGCUAGAGUCCGGAAGAGGCGAGUGGAACUCCUGGUGUAGCGGUGGAAUGCGCAGAUAUCAGGAAGAACACCAACGGCGAAGGCAGCUCGCUGGGACGGUACUGACGCUGAGACGCGAAAGCGUGGGGAGCGAACAGG